ensembl:lncRNA
AUGACAUAUUACAAGUUUAUAAUCCCUCUAAAAUGUAUUUCCAUUUCUAUUCUAGGUCUCCUGACCACCACUGUUGCCCCAACAACAACCACCAACACCACACCACUUCCUACCCUUUUGACUUCAGUGACAUCAACAACUAGAUUCGGCACAGUGGGAGUUUUUGUUAAACUGAUAUUCAACGUCAAAACACCAGUCCCCACUGAGGAUCAUGUCCUUGAUGCCGUCAAGAAGCAAUUGUCUCCUCAAUUCACGACCACUCAAACCACCUUCCAGAAUGCAACUUAUAUCAGUGAGUUCAACAAAUAAGGCUUCAUGAAGACAUUUUUUUCCACUCUAUAAAAUAAUCUCUUAAUAAGUAAACAUUCAACUGCUCCUGCUAUCUAAAUACUUAUUGAAUGUUUUUUAAUGUUGUUGAAACUCCUAAAUUGUAGCAGUUAAUUUGAUCUGUUGCUAUAGUGACCAUUUUUUUGUGUGCUCACAGAACUUACAGAUACUUCAUUUGCCAUCGACCUUGGUUUCAAAAUAACCAAUGUAACCCAGGAGUCUCUAAGUAAUAGACUCACACUCACCAAUGAGACUGAAACCCAGAUACAGGAUUCAAUUAACAGACUAGUAAGAUACUGUACUUCUACACAUAAGAUACAUCCAUGGUCAUGUUCAGGUCAUGAUAGUAAUUGACAACUUGAUGUUUUGUCCCCUUUUAGCUCCAAAAGGUUCUCAGUGAACCAGAUGGCAAACAGUUUCAAUUUCCGAAAGCCAACCUCAUGUAAGUACAACGUCAUAACCUUGAACCAACCCGUCUUUCUCAACUGCACUCUUUAGAAUUUCUGCAGAUUUCAUUUAGUUGCUGCUGGUACAGCUAAACAGGAUGAAAGGAACAUGUUUAACUCUCACACAAAACCCAUUUUUACGUCCACAGUGAUGAUGGCACUGAGAUCACGGCAAACGUGACGUAUGUAUACAAAGAGGAAGAUGUCAACCUCCCUAGUGGUUUUCUACAGGAAGUCUUAAAAGUCUCAGGUAUGCUGCUUUUGUUACCAUACGGUUGUCAUUUCUAUGUUUAUUUAUGACAGUGAGUUAUUAAACACCAUGUAACGUGUAUAAUACUCAAUCUCGAAAACACUUAUAUAUCAAUGUUAUAUGACAUAUUACAAGUUUAUAAUCCCUCUAAAAUGUAUUUCCAUUUCUAUUCUAGGUCUCCUGACCACCACUGUUGCCCCAACAACAACCACCAACACCACACCACUUCCUACCCUUUUGACUUCAGUGACAUCAACAACUAGGUAAGCAAGAUCAUUUAUUAUAAUGUUUUCAUACAAUUCAAUUAACACUUUGUCAAACAAGGAACCUUUGCAACAAUGAACCAUGUAUAUCCAUGCUUGUGUCGUUAACUACUGAUGUUUUAAUUAAAAGCAUCCAAAAUGUCAACCUUUCUUUAGAAAAGCUCUUUGAGUGCAUCAAUUGGUCAAAAGGCUUAAUAUAAAUCCAAUCCAUU